GACGAACGCUGGCGGCGUGCUUAACACAUGCAAGUCGAGCGGUAAGGCCUUUCGGGGUACACGAGCGGCGAACGGGUGAGUAACACGUGGGUGAUCUGCCCUGCACUUCGGGAUAAGCCUGGGAAACUGGGUCUAAUACCGGGUAUGACCUCCUAUCGCAUGGUGGGUGGUGGAAAGAUUUAUCGGUGCAGGAUGGGCCCGCGGCCUAUCAGCUUGUUGGUGGGGUAAUGGCCUACCAAGGCGACGACGGGUAGCCGACCUGAGAGGGUGACCGGCCACACUGGGACUGAGACACGGCCCAGACUCCUACGGGAGGCAGCAGUGGGGAAUAUUGCACAAUGGGCUAAAGCCUGAUGCAGCGACGCCGCGUGAGGGAUGACGGCCUUCGGGUUGUAAACCUCUUUCAGCAGGGACGAAGCGCAAGUGACGGUACCUGCAGAAGAAGCACCGGCUAACUACGUG
rnacentral:rRNA from 1 species